rnacentral:rRNA from 1 species
CGUUAUGGUUCUAUUUUGUUGGUUUCUAGGACCAUCGUAAUGAUUAAUAGGGACGGUCGGGGGCAUCAGUAUUCAGUUGUCAGAGGUGAAAUUCUUGGAUUUACUGAGGACUAACUACUGCGAAAGCAUUUGCCAAGGACGUUUUCAUUAAUCAAGAACGAAAGUUAGGGGAUCGAAGAUGAUCAGAUACCGUCGUAGUCUUAACAGUAAACUAUGCCGACUAGGGAUCGGUCGAUGUUAUCUUUUUGACUCGAUCGGCACCUUACGAGAAAUCAAAGUUUUUGGGUUCUGGGGGGAGUAUGGUCGCAAGGCUGAAACUUAAAGAAAUUGACGGAAGGGCACCACCAGGAGUGGAGCCUGCGGCUUAAUUUGACUCAACACGG